CUCUCCUACGGGGGGCAGCAGUGGGGAAUAUUGGGCAAUGGGCGCAAGCCUGACCCAGCAACGCCGCGUGAAGGAAGAAGGCUUUCGGGUUGUAAACUUCUUUUCUCAGGGACGAAGAAAGUGACGGUACCUGAGGAAUAAGCCACGGCUAACUACGUGCCAGCAGCCGCGGUAAUACGUAGGUGGCAAGCGUUAUCCGGAUUUACUGGGUGUAAAGGGCGUGUAGGCGGGUCUGCAAGUCAGAU
rnacentral:rRNA from 1 species